AUUUUCUACAUCAAGUGCUUGGCUAUAUUCACUUCGUGGAUAAAUGCUAGCCAGUGGAGUUACUGGUCCAUUUUUCUUGGAAUAUUUAAAAUUUGCAGUGUUUUGUUAAUGAAAAUGAAGGAAUAUGGGAUAAAAGUUUAUAUGUAUAUUGCAAUACUAGCAAGUUUUAGUGC